AUGCCGGUAUUCUCCAUUGUAGCGGAACAACUCUCAUCAAUAUGUUCGCAUCUCUCCUCAAUCCGUGCAGCCAGCUUUUCUGCCAGCUUCUCUUCGUGUCUCCCAUAAAGUCGACUUCAACAGGACUGGGCAAGUCUGAAAGUACCUCGGAGCCUCACCAGUAAGCUGAUGACAGGCAGAUCUUCCACUGUCUGCCCUUUCAGGUUCUGGAAACUUACCCGUGAACUUAGGUCUUUGGGCAGCAGCAUUAUCUUGAACUUACACAGCGUCCCGAACAAAAGACCUAAGCCAAUCUCCACAAAGGGCGGCAGCCCCUCCAUCACACUGAUCCACCCACAGAAUUCUGCCCAGUUACCUUGGAUCCACCAGCCAGAACAAGCCUCGUGGUACACAACAAGAUUCCACCUAGAAUCCAACCGAUACACCAUUGGAAACAUAUCUAUGGAUGUCAUACAACAGGGCCUGCUGGAAUGAUUCUACAGACCGACGUAUGAGUCCUCGGUGCAGUACCAUGUCAGUGCCAUCCAAAAUGUAGCAUCUGCAUUUGGGAGAUAAUGCUGAAGGACUCUGAGGCCUCAUGUUGUCUUUGGAAAUAACAGACCACUCUUCGGCAAGUGUCCUGUGCCAAGGGCUGGGUGAGUGGAUGUUUACAUUACUGUGUACA